ACUCAAAGGAAUAGACGGGGGCCCGCACAAGCGGUGGAGCAUGUGGUUUAAUUCGAUGCAACGCGAAGAACCUUACCUACUCUUGACAUCCAGGGAAUUCUGCAGAGAUGUGGAAGUGCCGAAAGGAACCCUGAGACAGGUGCUGCAUGGCUGUCGUCAGCUCGUGUUGUGAGAUGUUGGGUUAAGUCCCGUAACGAGCGCAACCCUUAUCCUUAGUUGCCAUCAUUUAGUUGGGGACUCUAAGGAGACUGCUGGUGAAGAACCGGAGGAAGGCGGGGACGACGUCAAGUCAUCAUGGCCUUUAUGAGUAGGGCAACACACGUGCUACAAUGGGGAAUACAGAGGGAAGCCAACCUGCGAAGGGGAGCCAAUCUCACAAAAUUUCUCGUAGUCCGGAUUGGAGUCUGCAACUCGACUCCAUGAAGUUGGAAUCGCUAGUAAUCGCGAAUCAGAACGUCGCGGUGAAUACGUUCCCGGGCCUUGCACACACCGCCCGU
rnacentral:rRNA from 1 species